AUUGAACGCUGGCGGAAUGCUUUACACGUGCAAGUCGAACGGCAGCACGGACUUCGGUCUGGUGGCGAGUGGCGAGCGGGUGAGUAAUGUAUCGGAACGUGCCCAGUCGUGGGGGAUAACGUAGUGAAAAUUACGCUAAUACCGCAUACGAUCUAUGGAUGAAAGCGGGGGAUCGCAAGACCUCGCGCGAUUGGAGCGGCCGAUAUCAGAUUAGGUAGUUGGUGGGGUAAAGGCCCACCAAGCCAACGAUCUGUAGCUGGUCUGAGAGGACGACCAGCCAAACGGGAACUGAGACGCGGUCCAGACUCCUACGGGAGGCAGCAGUGGGGAAUUUUGGACAAUGGGCGAAAGCGUGAACCAGCCAUUCCGCGUGCAGGAUGAAGUCCCUCGGGUUGUAAACUGCUUUUGUACAGAACGAAAAGGUUUCUACUAAUACUAUGAGCUCAUGACGGUACUGUAAGAAUAAGCACCGGCUAACUACGUGCCAGCCGCCGCCGUAA
rnacentral:rRNA from 1 species